CCAUGAUGGGACCCACCGUCCCACAGACAAAGGGUUCUUGCGAAGCCACGACUAAUUUAGUGCAAACCGAAAUAAAUAUCGGCCCACAGAGAUCCUUUACAGAACGGUUUGCCUUCAUUUCUUCUUUCAGUGGUGGGCGGGGGGCAUGGGAGCCUCCCUUCUACCUCUAAGAAUUCCUUUGUGAGCUUGAGUAUGAGAAUAAAAUCAUGUCUACAUUGUUACAUCGCAUCCAGACUCUUCUUCCUAGACCGCAAUUUUCUCUGUACUGAACACAAAUCACUAACUUUUAUAGAGCUCUAAAACUUUUUCCAGUAUCGUCAAAGUCAUCAGGCAGAUUAGCUGAUCCAACCCG
rnacentral:lncRNA from 1 species